CUUGGCCAUGAGAGGAGAAAGAGAGAAAGAGAAAGGACGACAGAGAGAGUGCUGUGGGGCUGGAGGGCCGUGGAACCUGGGAGCAGGUAACACCCUGGAGAAAGAGUGGGGUCAGGGCAUGUUGAAACCCUGGAAAUUCCGUCCUAAGAUUUGCAGGAGUCGGGUCAUCCCCUCUGCGCCCCACCCCACUCUGAGCCUGCAUAUUCCAGCACAGGUAGCCCUGCUCCCCAACCUUUGCCCCCCAGAGGAGGUCAUAGAGCCUAGUAGCCAGGUUAAACUAAUUCUCCCCUUAAUAAUGUCCUGUCCUGCAGCGCCUGGAAUUUCUUCUUAUUCCAAUCAGUCAUCCCGCAUACCCUGGCCACACCCAGUGAUGUACACUCACCCAGGAUCCCUACCCAUCCUCUAAAGGUUUACAUAGCGAUUGUUUCCACCAUGAAAUAAGCUGGCUCACCGAAGCUGUCUCCCCAGUGUCAUAUUCAUUGUGCUCAGAGAUACUGAGGUCUCCUAGACUCCUAGCCUUUCACACCUUGCUUCCCCUUUCAGGAUCAGCCAGUCACCCACCAUGGGUGAAGAAGUAGAGCCUGAAAGGCAAUGUGCAGGCUAAAACCAGAGAAAACAAACAACCAAAACCCGAAAACAAAACAAAACAAGGGAGAGAGACAAGAGUGAGGUUGUUGAGAAAGAGAAUCUGGAGAAUGGGAGACACAGGAGCUGCAGAAGUAUAGUGUAUCUCAGUGCAUCUCCACCCUCUCAGCCCCUCACCCUCCCUAUCCCCCUAAUCCACUCCACCUCCAUCAUCCCCCGCACCCAUCCCCUGGGCCCCUUUGAGAACUGCUGAGAAGAGCCAAUGUCCCAGCAUGGAUGUGGUAGUAUAUACUUGUGAGACUUGGCGAGCCAGAAGGAGGCCAGCAUCUGCCCUUUUCUAGGUUAAUAGGCACAACAUGUAGCCAUUUGUCCUGAGAGCCUUUUGGAUCUGACAGUUGAAAGGAGAGAAACUGUUUAUUCAGAUUGAUGCUGGAGUGAGAAAGGGCCUAACCCCUGUACCCUGCCUCUGGCCACCCCAACAAACAGGCAGGCAGGUAUAGGGGUAGAAUUGCAGGGGCUGGCAUUUGAAGACAUCGUCAUUGAGGCUUCUUGUUUUUCUGUACCUGUAUCAUCUUCCACGUUGCUGGAGACAGGGCCCCCUCUCCUCUGCAUACAUCAAGCUAGCUGGCCUGUGCAGUUCUGGGAUGUUUCUGUCUCCAUCUCCCAUCUUGCCACAGAAUCACCGGGUCUACAGACAUUUUGCUACCAUGACUGGCUUUGCAUAGGUGCUGGGAAACUCAACCUAGGUCUUCAUGGCUGUGUGUCAAGGGUUUCACCCACCAUGCCUUUCUCCCAGAACUCUCUAGGCACCUAUUUUGUGAAGCUGUCCAUUGGCCCUGAAUGAAAGCAAAUCUCAGACACACAGAUUUCUGGUGAUGUUCCCGUCACAAUUUCUGAGAAACUAAGAAACUUGACCCUAAAGGGCAACUGUGCUUUGGGUCCCUCCCAUCAGAAAUAAAACCUAUUUGAACAGAGUCUUUCUCUUCCGCCAAUGUCCCGCCCUUCCCUUAACUCUUCUGCUCUUUGGAACAGCUCAGAGUCACGAGGCUCCCUCGCCCUCACCUGAGGAGCAGGCGAUCUGACUGCUGCUUCAAGAAGCUUGCUCUCAUCAUACAUGCUGUUAGGGACCAGCCAUCCACCAUGACGAGAUAUUGCAGAGGACUUUCCCAGAGGCAAGCUUUCCUGCUUCUGACUGUGUUGGCAUUGCUCUUUAUUCUGUUCUUCGUUGUUAAGGAUCCAAGGGCAAAAGAUUCCAGGCGACAGUUCAUACUGAACAAUGACUCAAGUGCCCAGGAGAUUCUGCAAAAGGCUGAGCCCCAAGGACCCAUCAUGACACUGUCACCCAGAGUUCACAACAAAGAGACAACCUCUGUCAGUUCAAAGAACCUGAAGAAACAGGAGAGAGAGGCAUCCCAAGGAGAGCAAGGAGAGGGGAAGGAGAAGAGGAAGUUGGAGACCAUAAGGCCAGCACCAGAGAAUCCUCAGAGCAAGGCAGAGCCUGCUGCAAAGAUGCCUGUGCCAGAAUACCUGGACAAACUACCCAGAGCUCCAGGAGUACUGUCAACAAGGAAGACACCAAUGGCCACAGGAGCUGUCCCAGCUAAGAAGAAAGUGGUCCAGGCUACCAAAUCCCCUGCCUCUUCCCCACACCCCACCACACGAAGAAGGCAAAGGCUGAAGGCCUCUGAGUUCAAGUCUGAGCCUCGGUGGGAUUUUGAGGAGGAAUAUAGCUUGGAUAUGAGCAGCCUGCAGACGAACUGCUCUGCUUCUGUGAAGAUCAAGGCCUCCAAGUCACCAUGGCUACAGAAUAUCUUUCUGCCCAACAUCACUCUGUUCCUGGACUCUGGACGCUUCACCCAGAGCGAGUGGAACCGUCUAGAGCACUUCGCUCCUCCCUUUGGCUUCAUGGAACUCAAUCAGUCCCUGGUACAGAAGGUGGUGACCCGCUUCCCUCCAGUCCGCCAGCAGCAGCUCCUCCUGGCCAGCCUCCCUACUGGGUAUUCCAAGUGUAUCACCUGUGCUGUAGUGGGCAACGGGGGCAUCCUGAAUGAUUCACGUGUUGGCCAGGAGAUAGACAGCCAUGACUAUGUUUUCCGGUUGAGUGGAGCCGUUAUUAAAGGAUAUGAACAGGAUGUGGGGACCCGGACAUCCUUCUAUGGCUUCACUGCUUUCUCUCUGACCCAGUCUAUCCUCAUUUUGGGUAGACGAGGCUUCCAGCAUGUGCCUCUGGGAAAGGACGUCUGAUAUCUACACUUCCUGGAAGGCACCCGGGACUAUGAGUGGCUGGAAGCUAUGUUUUUGAAUCAGACCUUGGCAAAAACCCACCUUUCCUGGUUCAGGCAUAGGCCUCAGGAAGCCUUCCGGAAUGCCUUGGACUUGGAUCGAUACUUGCUGCUGCACCCAGACUUUCUCCGUUACAUGAAGAACAGGUUUCUGAGGUCAAAGACCCUGGACACUGCCCAUUGGAGAAUAUACCGCCCCACCACUGGCGCCCUCCUGCUGCUCACAGCCCUUCAUAUCUGUGACAAGGUCAGCGCCUAUGGCUUCAUCACCGAGGGCCACCAGCGCUUCUCUGACCACUACUAUGAUACAUCAUGGAAACGGCUCAUCUUUUAUAUCAACCAUGACUUCAGGUUAGAGAGAAUGGUGUGGAAGCGGUUGCAUGAUGAAGGCAUCAUCUGGCUCUACCAGCGCCCACAAAGUGACAAAGCAAAGAACUGACCAGGGCCCAGAUCAGGGUGUUCCCCUCGACCACUUACAACACAGAAUGCAAGGGCUCCUCAAAUGCUCCUACCUUUUUUUCCUGGACUCAAACCUGCUCCAAGUCCUUAGACAGUCCCAAGGAGCAGCUGUUUGUGACAGGGGGUUUGGAGUCCUUUGGAAAAUCACCAUAGGCUCUUAUGGUGAUUUCUUGUUCAAACCCUACAGUUUGAAUUCAACCCAAACCCCAAACAAUUUAGUUCACUUUACUUUUCAAACACUCCCUUCAGAUUUUUGGACUCUGGAACUCAAAAUUACAGUAAAGAGCAAAUGGAGGAGCUUGGUAGUGGCUGGGAGAAAAACAAAACAAAAAUGAAACAAACUUCCUUUAGCGGUAAUGCCCAGUAGUGUACCACAGAGCCUAGGAUUUGCUCUGAUAGUGCAGUAGUGAAUCCGGCCGGCAGGGGGCGACAGCUGGGCGCCCAACUGCGGAUUGGCCUUUUGAGGUGCUUCGCUGGAGCGGUGCUUGUGCAAAGUGGAACUGGACCAGCAAUCGGGGUUCAAGACUGAGCAGUAUGAAGUCCAGGAGGACGCCGCAAGUUCUUAGGUGCAGCUGAGCAGGACAAGGGUGCCUCAGGGGUUAAGAGCACAUACUGCUCUAACAGAGAACCUGACUUUGGGUCCUAGAACCUAUGUCAGGCAACCCACCACUGCCAAUAACUCUGGUCUCAGAUUCGUUGCCUCCCUCUGGAUUUCACAACACCUGUCCUCUUAUGCACAUACCCACACAAGGACGCUUAUAUACACAUAAUUUUAAAAUAAAAAUAAACCUUAAGAGAUAAAUAAAGCUAUCAGCAGAGUAAGAAUCACCUUUAGUUCCAUCACUGGGGAGGCAGAGGCAGGCAGAUCUGUGUGCAUUCCAGGCCAUCCUGGUCUACAGAGGGUGUUCUAGGAUAGCCAGGGCUACCCAGAGAAACCCUAUUUUGAAAACAAACAAAUAAACAAGAAAAACUGAAAGCAGCAUGCAUCGAUGAUGUGGUAGAGAAAUAUAUUUUAUAAGUAUAGUACAGGUAAUGUCGUGGCUGGUUGGUUAUUUGUCAACUUGACAUAAGGUAGACAUGAGAAGAGGGGACCUCAACUGAAAAAAAAGCCCCAAGAAAGGGCUUCAGGUAAGCCUAUAUGCCAUUUCCUUAAUUGGUGACUGAUAGUGGAGGACCACACCAAUUGAAGGUGGAGCCACCCUGGGCUGGUGGUCCUGGGUUCUAUAAGAAAGCGGGCU